rnacentral:rRNA from 1 species
GACGAACGCUGGCGGCGUGCUUAACACAUGCAAGUCGAACGGUGAACGAGGGAGCUUGCUCCCUCCGGAUCAGUGGCGAACGGGUGAGUAACACGUGAGCAAUCUGCCCUGGACUCUGGGAUAAGCGUUGGAAACGACGUCUAAUACCGGAUACGAAACGCGAAGGCAUCUUCAGCGUCUGGAAAGAACUACGGUCCAGGAUGAACUAGCGGCCUAUCAGGUAGUUGGUGAGGUAACGGCUCACUAAGCCGACGACGGGUAGCCGGCCUGAGAGGGUGACAGGCCACACUGGGACUGAGACACGGCCCAGACUCCUACGGGAGGCAGCAGUGGGGAAUAUUGCACAAUGGGCGCAAGCCUGAUGCAGCAACGCCGCGUGAGGGACGACGGCCUUCGGGUUGUAAACCUCUUUUAGCAGGGAAGAAGCGAAAGUGACGGUACCUGCAGAAAAAGCACCGGCUAACUACGUGCCAGCCGCCGCGGUAAAAC